rnacentral:rRNA from 1 species
CAGCCGCCGCGGUAAUACCGGCGGCCCGAGUGGCGGUCACUAUUAUUGGGCUUAAAGCGUCCGUAGCCGGGUUGGGAAGUCCUCCGGGAAAUCUGGCCGCUUAACGGUCAGAAUGCCGGAGGAUACUCCCAGCCUAGGGAGCGGGAGAGGCCGAGGGGAUUCCCGGGGUAGGGGUGAAAUCCUAUAAUCCCGGGAGGACCACCUGUGGCGAAGGCGCUCGGCUGGAACGCGUCCGACGGUGAGGGACGAAGGCCAGGGGAGCAAACCGGAUUAGAUACCCGGGUAGUCCUGGCUGUAAACGAUGCGGACUUUGUGUCGGACAAGCUAUGAGCUUGUCCGGUGCCGGAGGGAAACCGAUAAGUCCGCCGCCUGGGGAGUACGGCCGCAAGGCUGAAACUUAAAGGAAUUGGCGGG